rnacentral:lncRNA from 1 species
AGAUGCCCAGCAGGAAAAUACUGUGAAGUGCCAGGCCUGGCUGCCCCAACAGGAGAUUGUGCUGAGGGGUUUUGGUGCAGAAGUGGUGCCCGAGUGAGGAACCCCCAGGAUGGGGAGUCAGGGCUGCCCUGUCCUGCUGGCCACUACUGCCCUGAAGGUAGGGGAGUUUGCAGCAGCACUUUCCUCCAUUCCUAAAAUCCUGUGAGGAAUUUCCUCACCCUGCUGUGACCUCACCAGGUGCCCCAGUGCCACUGCAGUGCCCUCCUGGCACGUGGUCUGACCAGGAGGGCAGGAGGAGUGUGCAGGAGUGCCAGCCCUGUCCUGGGGGACAUUUCUGCAAUGGCUCUGGGCAGAGGGCACCCUCGGGGCAGUGCAGCCCUGGGUUCUACUGUGCCAGCGGUGCCCAGACCCCGACACCCCGCGACGGCCUCUCGGGAGCUCCGUGUCCCCUGGGUCACUUCUGUCCCCAGGGCUCCAGCAGCCCCGUCCCGUGUCCCCCUGGCUCCCACCUGCCCCGUGCCCAGGGACAGCAGUGCCAGCCUUGCCCACAGGGUCACUACUGUGUGUCUGGUGAGGAGCCCCAGCCGUGCCCCCAGGGUGAGUUGAAGUCACACAGAAAUGCCUGGAUUGAUUUUGACUCUUCAAAUUCUGCUGAUUCUGAGCUGUUCUGUGUUUUCCAGGGUAUUUCUGUCCCCAGGGCACAGCUGUUCCCAUUGCCUGUCCAGCAGGAUCCUACAACCCUUCCCUGAGCCAAAGCAGCUGCCUGCCCUGUCCUGAAGGGUGAGACACAGAGAGCUUAGAAAUGCUGAAAUAAUUCUUUAUCCAG